ensembl:lncRNA
UACUUCUUUGGCUUUAGGAAAACUGGAUAAGUAAAAUAACACUUCCUUAUUUUCUUUGCCUCUUCUUCACUAAAUUCUUGAAGAACAUACUUUCUUUUCAGUUGACUGGGGAAGUACAGUUUGGAUAAUACAUUUCUGAAAAACUUAUUUGUUAAUUGUUUGCUCUUUAAAUUUUUACCUUCAGUACAUGAUGGAUAGCAUAGGUGUAAAAUAAUGUAGUAAAUAAUGAAAGGACACGAUUGUUUUGUAUGUGUAUGCCUUUAGCAUUUGUUAUAUAAUGUUAAAAAGGUCAUAUGAGGUGGUUGUUUUCAUAUUUAAUUUUUCAUUCACUUCCAGGGAUAGGAUUGGCAUGGAAGAUGCAGCACUCUUUACAUUUUAAAUAUCAAAUGUAUAUCAAGUGUUAUCCAUCCUUGAUAACACCUCCACAAAUAGAGACUGGAACUUCUGAGCACCAUCACCUUGUCUGCUUUGGGACUGUCAUAGCCCAGCAAUCAGAUGCAUCAGAACAACAAAUCACAACUGUGGUGGAACAGGCACCUUCAGCAACAAAGAUUUAACAACACUGUCAGUCAGGAGCAUAUUUAACAGGAGCCACACUCAACUGGCUUGAUGGUGACUUCAGUAAGUGUGGUUGACCCUCUUGUUUUUGUGGCUAUAAUAAUUAGGCUAAGUAAUCUCACUCUCUUCCAUUUCCCUAACAUGAAACUUUUGACUGAAACAUGAAAAUGGUACUUAACCGGUGCAGUGAAGAUAUUUAAAGAAACACUAUCACUAUCUAAAGUACAGAAAGCCUUACAUCAUCUCUAGGUGCAGUCACCUACAGCGCAGCCAGCUUCACAAAGACUGUGGGGCUGGUCACCAGGAAAAUGGACAACAGGGAGUGCUUUUGGGGUUUUACUCCUCAAAUGAUCACCCUGGCUACUGUAGCUGGGAUUGCUUCACAGACGAUGGAGGUCUUGAAGAGUAAAGUGUGCGUGCGUGCGCACACAUUGUGUUUUUACUGUAACAAUUAUGGUCACUUGCAGUUAAUUUGUUUUUAGUGUAGUGUAAGAUGUGUUAAUUAUUAUUAUUAUUACUCAAAAACCAUUAAAACUUCUAAAUUGUGGAAGUUAUUCUUCAUUAUGUUACUGUGGUUAUUUUGUAUAUGUUAUUAUUUCGAUUAAAAUACAAAAUUCAACACACAAAUUCUGGUUGAGGUAUUAUUUUAAUAAUUUAUUUAAUAUUUCAUUAUUUUUUCACUGCUAAAUAUUACAAACAUAGGGUUAACUUUCUAAAAUGUAUGGAAUGUUACAUUGUCAGUUGUACAUUGGUAAAACAAACAUGAACAAAAGGCAGAAGCCCUAAAAAUAUGGAUUGUGGAUGUCGGUAGUGCAAAUUGCUGAGGGGAAAUAAAAAAAAAAUUGCUGUCGUGUCAUAAACCGUGAAAGAUUAGUAUAUUAUUAUUUUUAUUAUUUCUACUAGGUAAAAGUAACAACGAUAAAAGUACAGAACAUAUGAACAUUACGUACAAAGAGGUGACAUAACUUGCAAAGCACCCCUUAUACAUUUAUAUAACAAGUAAUAAUAUAAAACGAAAGUUUGGUGGAGUUGACGUAUUUUCGCUCUUGAAUGGAGCUCCACUCGCCGCCAUGGAGGUGACGUAAUUCUACGGAAAGUGUUGCCCGGUCCAACAUGGCGGCCGCAUCAUUAGUGGAGGCGACGUAAUUCCACGGAAAGUAUGGCCCGGUCCAACAUGGCGGCGGCGUCGCUAGUGGAGGUGACGUAUUUCCGCUCUUGAGUGGAGCUCCACUCGCCCAUAUGUCUGCAGCCAGACCCUCUUGCAGGAGGGCAGCGCGUGCUCAGCUGCUGUCGAAUCACAACACAGGAACCGCUGGCCCAAUCAGAACUCGUUACGUAUUUCUGAAGGAGGGACUUUAUAGAACAAGGAAGACAUCAGCCUGUUUUUAUGACAGUGAAAACAGCAGUACAAAGAUAGGUGAAUUGUGUGAAAAAUAUUGUGUUUUUUUUUUACACGCGAAACAUGAACACAUGUUAUUUUGCACACUGUAAACACAAUCAAAGCUUCAAAAAAGCAUGAAAACGUGACCUUUAAUACAGUAGUAGCCUAUAUGUUUAUUAUUAAUAAGGUGUGUCCUCCAAUGUCACUUUUUAGUAGGAUACAUUAAGACACAAUUUCACCAUAUUGUAUGAAAAUUGAAUUGUUAAGUGUUACACAGACUGUGAAACAAUGCAACUUUGCCAUAAAACCAAGAAGAAAAAUCAAAGGGAAAUCAUGCAUUUGUGGUUUCCCCCUCCGCUGAGACAGGAAAAAGAAAGUAGGCUAACCAUUACAGCUAAGCAAAACAACUGCUCCGUAUCUGCAAGAGACUAUCUCUAAGACAUCAGCAGUUAAAAUGAUGAGAAGCGAUACAGUGCUCAUUCUCUUCACUUUUCUCGUUUUUGGCAAGACAUCAAUUUGUGUCUGUGAUCGCUUAACUCUUAUUAAAGCAUUUAGGCCUAUAUCUGUCAUUU